rnacentral:rRNA from 1 species
CUUUCUUUGCUGGCGACCGGCGCACGGGUGAGUAACACGUAUCCAACCUGCCCUUUACUCGGAGAUAGCCUUUCGAAAGAAAGAUUAAUACCCGAUAGUAUAAUGAUUCCGCAUGGUUUCAUUAUUAAAGGAUUCCGGUAAAGGAUGGGGAUGCGUUCCAUUAGGUUGUUGGUGAGGUAACGGCUCACCAAGCCUUCGAUGGAUAGGGGUUCUGAGAGGAAGGUCCCCCACAUUGGAACUGAGACACGGUCCAA